rnacentral:rRNA from 1 species
UACGUAGGGGGCGAGCGUUUGUCCGGAAUCAUUGGGCGUAAAGGGUGCGUAGGCGGAUCGGCAAGUCAGUUGUGAAAUGCUUGAGCUCAACUCAAGAAUUGCAAUUGAAACUCCCGACCUUGAGGGUAGGCGGCGAUAACGGAAUUCCACGUGUAGCGGUGAAAUGCGUAGAUAUGUGGAAGAACACCGGUGGCGAAAGCGGUUAUCGAGCUUAUACCUGACGCUGAGGCACGAAAGCAAGGGGAGCAAACAGG